CUUGCAAUGUUGAUAGAACAGACAGGGACAUCAGCACCCCACUGGGGGAAUGAUGAUUUGUUGAUGGGAAUCUCUCUGAUGCUUG